AUGUGCUCGGCCAACAACUUCGUUGAACUGGUGGUACACCCGAUGCAACUUGCCCUGCACUCCCUGGACACAUUGCUUCUUCUACAUCUACCUGAUGUUGUCCCUUCUCUUCUUCUCUAUCAGGGCAGCAUCAACCCCCUUUUCCCUGUCGGUGAGGAACUCCAGCAGAGGAUGGACUGUGUUUUGGAGCUCCUCGAUCUGGCCUCCCCCGCUCAGUUGCCGCUCCAUGCUCCGGAUCUGGCCACAGUAGGCCUCGCCCCCGACGACCAACAGGCUCAGAUCCAUCCCUUCCCUCCUCCUGUCCUCCACAUGCGUAGGGGCUGUGGCGCCAGAUCAAGGGAGCCUGCCAAUGGAGGUCACCGCAUCUCCGUCUCGUUCCGUCCGCCGCCGGAUCCACCACGUUGUGCCAUGGAUGGGCGCCUUGCAGCUCCUCCUCCCGUCACCUAA
rnacentral:rRNA from 1 species